UGGGGAAUAUUGCACAAUGGGGGAAACCCUGAUGCAGCGACGCCGCGUGAACGAAGAAGGUAUUCGUAUCGUAAAGUUCUGUCCUAUGGGAAGAUAAUGACAGUACCAUAGAAGAAAGCUCCGGCUAAAUACGUGCCAGCAGCCGCGGUAAUACGUAUGGGGCGAGCGUUGUCCGGAAUUAUUGGGCGUAAAGGGUACGUAGGCGGUUUUUUAAGUCAGGUGUCAAAGCGUGGAGCUUAACUCCAUUAAGCACUUGAAACUGAAAGACUUGAGUGAAGGAGAGGAAAGUGGAAUUCCUAGUGUAGCGGUGAAAUGCGUAGAUAUUAGGAGGAAUACCGGUGGCGAAGGCGACUUUCUGGACUUUUACUGACGCUCAGGUACGAAAGCGUGGGGAGCAAACAGG
rnacentral:rRNA from 1 species